CUUCGAAGGAAUGCGUUAUGCCAACUCGCAGGGAGUCUUGAGUGUCCGAUGCGCAGAAACAAAAAGAUGGAAACGUCAAUCGCCGAAUGUACCGGCAGCGACGACGGCCACCACCGGGAGUGGCAGGAACGGGGUAUUCCACGAGAACAACGACCUGUAGCCAUGGUAGUUGCAGCAGCAACCGCUGCCGACAAUCAAAAGCAAAACCUGAACAACGUCAUCGGAUCCAUUUAGAAGAUGCUGGCUCUCCUCCACCAACUCCACCUCACCUUUUCUUCCUUCAACGUCGCAUCUCAACUCCCUCUCCUCCAACGAACUCUCUCGUCCUGGAGUUUGACUAUAAGAUGAAAGUGUCCGAGAAGUGCAGUAUUCUGGUUCCAAUGGAGGUUCUUAGGGACUAUAUGGAAGCAUCUCUUGGAGGAAGUUGAACAGGCAUUUCUUGAUGAGGUGGAAUCAUACAAAUAAAUACGUGCUACUUCUGCUGCUAGAUAUUCAAAGAGUUGUUGGGAGAACAAUUGGAGAAGAGUUGAUCACUGAAAGAAUUGGUUAUUGAGAAGGUUGAUUAACUGAGGCUGAAGACGGACUGAAAACUGAAGGAUUCGAAUUGCAGAAGCUGAAAAAGGCUUGGCAAGUGGAGACCCAAGAAAGUUCGGGGAAGAAAGAGUAGAAGAGAAUCGGGGAAGAGACAACAAAGCAAAAAGGUUUAUGGGGGCAUAAAAGUCACUUGCCAGGAAAAAAGCAUAUCACGUUGCAUGGAAAAAAUGGGGUAAGCAUGAAGCGACAAGUUUAGUUCAAGAAAUUAGAUUGCUGCAUACAAUUUGAUUCUCUCUCAUGGUGUCUAGAAACUCCGUGAUUGCGAUCAGGUCUGCAAAUAUUUAACUUAAUUGUGUUUUUCACUUUGUUUUUGCUGUCAUUUUAUUGCUAUAUUUAUCUACAAAUUCCAGCUUUAUACUUCAAUGUCUUUCAUUUUGAGUUUGAGGAUUAUGUUGAUUGGCAAUCUACUGCAUGUGUGUGCAAUUUUUGUCUUGCCUGCCAGGUGUUUGCUCUAUUUAUUGAGAAAAAAGAAAAAUUAGGUCCUCUUGUCAGACUUCCCUGUCUAAUGAAAUAAGGCCAAGCAGUGUGUGGCAUCUAGGUCCCACUGGAGCACAUGUGGACCCUGCCAAGUGGGACUCACAUGCCACAUACCACUUGGCAUGAUCUCAUUGGGCAAGGAGGCUGGUCUGGAAAGACCUAAUUCUUUCUCCUAUUUAUCAUGUUGGUUCUUUUUAAGUAUUGCUGGUUGUGUUAGCUGUGUGCUUGUUUCUUGAUGUUUGCUGGUCUGUUCUCUCUGUGAGUUUGUGUUUUUCUUUGGUUUGGAAACAUAUGGUUGGUGUACUAUUUGUUUAUUUUUUUGGUUGUGGCCAAGGUGCUUUUGGUUGUGCAGCUAUGUUUUGGCUUUUUGGUUAGCAUGGCUGGCUAUGGCUUAUGUUUCUAUGUGAUCUUACAUUGUGUUUAAUGAAGUAGCUUUUCGCUGAUAAAAAUGUUUAGUUUUGUAUAGUAUUAUUUUUUUUUUUAAUGAUUGAAUAUAUUAUUGCUAUCGAUAUAUUUUAUCAGAGCAAAUCAACUAACGACAUUAUGUUUCUUAAUCUCAAGGUAUAUUAUUUUCUGUUUCAGAUGGAGGAAACCAUAAUGAUCAAUCUAUUUUUGUUUGUUGAUCAUCUAUUUCUUGAAAGGGAUUGCAUGGAUUUACUGUAUAUUGGUACAUAAAAAUGGACUUAAAUUUAUCACUUGAUUUUUUCGUAUACUUUAUUCAAAUUUUUAUUAUAUUUUUUCAAAAAAAAAAAGAGACUAAUUUCAUAGGUUUCAUCAUAAGGGUACAACACAUUUAUCACUCCAUUGGAUGAUGUCAAAAUCAUCUAUAGCAACUCACCAAUUUUGGAUUUCAGUUGCCCCAAGAAGUGCACAAAUUAUUAUAAUAAUGAUAAUAAUAAUAUUAUUAUUAUUAUUAUAGGUUUACUAUCGUUUACCUGGACUAGAUUAUAUGUUCACCUUUUUUUUUUCUCUUCUUUUUGGCUUCAUUUGGAACUCGAAUAUAAAAGAACUUACAUGUUUGGUUAUAAAGUCAGAAAGAAAAUGAAAAAUGUACUAAAUGGAUGAACAGUAUUUUGAUUUUACACAUCAUUAAUAUUUAAUUUUUUAAUAUUUAAUUAUAUUAAAAUGGUUUUUUAUUUUUGAAAGUAUUUUAUAGAGAAAAAAAUAUAAGAAAAAUAAAUUUAUUUUUUAUUUCCUUUUCUUUUCCUAAAUAAAAUUUUUGGUCUAAACGGACCUCAAUGUUUCUCUCAAUUCAUUUGCUCCAUGAAAUUUGAUGUUAUUUUAGUAUUUUAUCUUAGAUCAUAUUAAAUUUUAUUUAUAUUUUCUCAAAUUUAAAUUUAAUUGAAAGUCAUGCUCUUAAAUGCGAUUUUGAUGUCAUCUUAUUUUUAAGUUUCUUUUUUCUCCUUACAAGGGUCUGUUUCACUAAAAAUUUUGCUACAUGAAAUAGGGGUGUGCAAACAGUUGGUUCGGUCAAAUUUGGUUAAUUAAUUAAAUUAAUUAAAAUUUUAGGUUAGCAAUAAUUUCUAAUCAAAUCGAUCGAAGGUGUUGUAAUUAGAUCAAAAUAAUUUAAAAUUAAUUAUAAAAAUAAAAUAUGAUUGUAAAAUUUAAAAUUAACUAUAAAAUUAAUGUUUACUUUUUCUUUUAGUUGUAAGAGCUGAAUUAGGAGAAUGACAUCGGUUUAAUGAACAAAUUAAGAAAAUCAAAUAAUUAUAUGAUAUAUAAUAUAUUAAUUAUAUUUAAUAUUAUUAAUUUAUACUUAAUUUUUAAUUAAUUAGUAAUUUGGUUAAUUCGAUUAAUCGAGUUGAAAUUAUCCAUACCUGAAGUAAAAAUCAAAUACUCGAAAUUAUGUUUAAUUGGAUUGAAGCCAACCAAUCGAAUUCGAUAUGCUCACCCAAAUGGGAGUAGGUUUACUUUUUAGGUGCCCUUUACAGAUGUAAAGUUGUGGUCUGAGUGGGUUGAUUUUAAUGAGGCGGCAUUUUGGUGCACGUGCGUGUGAGUAUUUUUUUUCCCCCCCUCUGAAAAUUCCCACGAGCGUCUCCGCAAUUAUAAUUUCCUUUCCAUUUUGGCUAUUAAUAAACACUUCAUUCACACGCACUCACAGUUAAUUAUUUAAUUUUAAAAAAGAGAAUGCAGAAAGCAGUACGGUCCACAGUACAUACCAUUUUUUUCACCUGAAAGGACUGCUUGAAAAUUCCAAUCAAAUGGAAUUAGAAUUUUUGGUUAAUGGAUUGUUCAGUUUGGUUUCAAUUUAGAUAUUUUUAGGUUUUUGAAUAUUGAUCGGUUUUAGUUUGUAUUGGUCCCGAACCGAGGGUUGUCUGAACCAAACCAGUACUAUAUAUACUAAAAGAGGGUGGCAUCUUCAUUUAUUUAUUAAUAUAUUCUCACUUUUGACGGAGGAAUACUGUGGUUACAAAAUAAAACCAGAACUAUGUAUAUAAUUAUAUAUAUUAAUAAUAUUAUUAUGUAAAUUUUAACUAUGUUAAUAUAAUUAUGUAAUAAUUUUAAAUUAAAAAAAAAACCGCUAAAGAACUACUCUACUGGGGCACACUGCACAGUUGCACACUCUCCAUUCUCCACUCCCAUCGGCUGCACUAAGCGGCGAUGCCUACACCGAGCGGUGCACGUCCAUUGUCGCUGCCUCGCCAAAUCUACUAUCUUGCUAGAUCUGCAGGUAAAAGUUACGUGUUUCUCCCUUGAUACGAAUUUUAUCAUUAUUUAUGAAUCAUGAAUCUUUUCAAUUCUUAAUACAUGCACAUGACUAUGCAUACAUUGUUUGACUUAUGUUUGGUUCUUAUUUGUCACACCAUUCUCAGCCAAAUCAUCUAAGUUCAACUUGAUUCAAUUUGAAUGAUUUGAAUGCGAAGAAGAGAAGAAAUUCAUAUCAUGAGCAGAGCAUGCCCCCACUCACUCAUAUGUAAAGUUGGAUUGUUCCGUGCUCAUUUUUGCUAUGUCACUAUCAUGUAUAGUUAUUUUAUUCAUUUUUUCUUUUAGUUAAGCAUGUGCUAAAAGAAAUUCACAUUGUCCGAUCAUAAAACACGGAUUCGACACCUUUUUUGACGAAGUUGUUUUUUGAUAGAUAAAUUUUUUGAGUACAA